AUUCACGGUCUAGGACUCGUCAAUCUUUUUCCUAGAACACAGGUCUUGUCCCCUCGAUGAAAUUUGACCGGCCAUCAUUCAUGAUAAUGAACGAUUAUAACUAUUACUCUCGCGUUGUUAUCGGUUACUCGGUGUGAGAUCGGUUUGUCCAAGGUGAGUCAGUGGUAUGGGAUUUUACUUACACUGCGAAAAGCAUCGUUCCAGACCGUGGAUCUUGGCCCCUUGAUGAAAUUUUACCACCCCGCAGUCAUAGGAAAGCAAAGAAGCAGCAUUGUCAUAUAAAUCUGAAUUAAUUCUCAUGCCAAUAUAUUAUAGCAGAUGGAGGAAAACCGGGAUCAAAUAACAAAGCAAAUUGAGGAGUAUCAAGAUGAAAUAAUAAGGCAUAUGGAAAAGAAUCAAGAUCAAAUAAUAAGGGAGAUGGAAGAGAAGCAAGAUCAAAUAAUAAGGGAGAUGAAGAAAAAGCAGAAUCAAAUAAUAAACGAGAUGAAGGAAAAGCAAGAUCAAAUAAUAAGACAGAUGGGUGAGAAUGAGGAUCAUAUAAUAAGGAAAAUGAAGAAAAAACAGGAUCAACUAAUAAGGCAGAUGAAGAAAAAGCGGGAUGAACUAAUAAUCCAGAUGGAGGAGAAGCAGGAUCAUAUAAUAAGGAAAAUGAAGAAAACGCAGGAUCAAAUUAUAAAACAGAUGGAGGAGAAUCAGGAUGCUAUCAAAAAGGGCAAGUAUAUGUUGCAAGUCUUUAUGCUUGAUAAAUAUAUUUAUUAUACUUUCAUGUUAAAUACUCAAUUC